GUUCUGGCUCAGGACGAACGCUGGCGGCGUGCCUAAUACAUGCAAGUCGAACGGUCUUUCUAUGGAAGCUUGCUUCCACUGAGAAGAUAGUGGCGAACGGGUGAGUAACACGUGGGUAACCUGCCCAUAAGAGGGGGGAUAACAUCCGGAAACGGGUGCUAAUACCGCAUAGUUUUCUUGAUCGCAUGAUCGGGAAAGGAAAGACGGCCUUUGUGCUGUCGCUUAUGGAUGGACCCGCGGCGUAUUAGUUAGUUGGUGAGGUAACGGCUCACCAAGACGAUGAUACGUAGCCGACCUGAGAGGGUGAUCGGCCACAUUGGGACUGAGACACGGCCCAAACUCCUACGGGAGGCAGCAGUAGGGAAUCUUCCGCAAUGGACGAAAGUCUGACGGAGCAACGCCGCGUGAGUGAAGGUAAAGGGUUUUCGGAUCGUAAAACUCUGUUGUCAGAGAAGAACAAGUUGGAGAGUAACUGCUCCAGCCUUGACGGUAUCUGACCAGAAAGCCACGGCUAACUACGUGCCAGCCGCGGC
rnacentral:rRNA from 1 species